rnacentral:rRNA from 1 species
UACAGAGGGGGCUAGCGUUGUUCGGAAUUACUGGGCGUAAAGGGCGCGUAGGUGGCCUGCUAAGUCGAACGUGAAAUCCCCGGGCUCAACCCGGGAACUGCGUCCGAGACUGGCAGGCUUGAAUCCGGGAGAGGGAUGUGGAAUUCCAGGUGUAGCGGUGAAAUGCGUAGAUAUCUGGAGGAACACCGGUGGCGAAGGCGGCAUCCUGGACCGGUAUUGACGCUGAGGCGCGAAAGCCAGGGGAGCAAAGCGGGG